UGCAGUAAAGGGUAACUGGACUUUCCC
rnacentral:piRNA from 1 species